GAAAAAAGAACUUGACAACUUGUCAUAAUGGGUAAAAGGUGUAAGAGGAAUAUUAAAAUAAGGUAUUAGAACCAUUAAAACAAAGGUGAAGAUAACGAACAGUGAUCAAUCUCAUAACCCCUACCAACUAUCCUGCUGUGUUUAGUAAACCAGAGGCGAUAAAAGAAACAGAUAGGUUUAAUACACAAGGAAUAUGUGUUGGUUCCAUCUGACGAAGCUUGUAACAGCACUGUAUUUGUUUGUAAGGUUCAUUAUUACAACUGUUCUUAAAGGAACCUGGCAUUAAUUCCACAUCUGGUAAUCCUAAUUAUGCUUCAACCUCCCUUUCAAAACAUAAAAUUCAUCAACAUCAUGAUUCAGUUUCCAACACAUUUGAUAUCCCUGACAUAUGAGUUACUGUACCUAUACUGGAUUCCUAAACUUCAUAAAACCCUUACAAACAAAGAUACAUUGAUGGAUCCAGUAAGUGUUUUACCAAGCCCCUAUCUGUGACCCUCAUGAAGAUAUUUACAGCAGUGAAGAAGACAAUUCAAACGCACUGUGCCACUACAGAUGUCAGAAGUGCUGUAAAUCACACGUGGAUUCUAAAAACUUUCAGUCAAUUUGAAAUCACAAAACUUUUUUUCAAAUCAACAAACUCAAAACGUGUGACUAUUCAACACUUUACACGACCAUUCACCACGAUUAAUUAAAGAUCAGACUUUUUAAAAUCCAAGAAAGUUGCUUCUUCAAUGUAAAACUUGUACGGUACCAAUUUUGAUGCACCAGAUGCGAAUUUCGACAAAUAGUGUCUCUUCAGUGAUGCUCAAGCCGAAAGUUUGGAAAUUCGAAAUAACAAUAAACUUGUAAGAGCUAAAAGGAAAACUAAAGUGCCAAAAACUGGAACCAAAUUCAUCCAAGGAUAGAGCUGUGCAUGAGUUAAUUUUGAAAUGAAUUUUUAAAAUAAAAAUAAAAUUUCUUCAAUAAAAGUAGAAAAAGGAAAUUUUCUGAUCAGUCAUUCAAAACAUUACUUUGUUAUACACUACUCUGGUUCUACGCACAAGUACUCCGAAGUUGAUAUCUAAAUAAUGCUGGAGUUUCUCAUUGACAAUAUCUUCGUAGUCUUCCAACAUGUACAUGUAGCAUUUAUUCAAAAGCCACUAUGUGAGAAGAAAAUUUUUUGUUGUUGUUGUCUUAAACUCGAUAUUUAGAUAUAUCACCAUGCGCAAUGUAAAUUUAAACUUGAUUAGUCACGUGAUCGAGACAUGUAAUGUACCAUGAUAUCCCUUAUAUCAGGUAUUAUUAGAAAAUAGUUUUUAAUUGUACUGAUAUUGUUAUGUCUAGAAUUCGUGCUUUAUUUCUUAACCAUAUACUAAAACAUUAUAAUAUGAAAACGUAGUAAACAACCUAGUAUUAAAUGCAGAUACCGUGCUGUAAAAGAGAUUAAGCUCCUGGUAAAGUUAAACAUUAUUAACAUAAUUAAAAUGUAUGCAUCAUGAUUGUGUGUAAAAUUUGUCGUACUUAAAUCGUCUUGUCUACAAUGAUAAAUGUUGUGCAUUAUGGGAAAUACCAGAAUACAUUUGUUAUCUAUUUCUCAUGUUUGUGAGAAAAACAUCAUGAAGUGUAAAAGUGUAUUUUUGCUAUCUAUAAUUCUUCUGAUUCUAGUGACGACAGAUUCAUUUUGGUGGGGAAGGAAGGGUAAAGUGCAUCAUACGAAAAUUCAAAGAGACGGGGCAGAUAAUAGAAACAAACACAGACAAGCACGGAGUGGGACAGGUAAAGGCGGGGAAAAACGACCAAAAAACCUUCCUGAUGUUCUAUGCAGCUUUUGUAAGAAAACUGGCACGUGUGCACCAAACUUCUGUGCAGGAUGAAAAUUAUGUACUUUAUUUUAUCUAAACAAUCUCUUAAAAACUUGUAUACAUAUUAUAUGUAAACUUUUAUCAUUGUACUCACAAACUGAAUAAAUAUGUGAAGCAUGAACGGCACAUAAUCAUAUA